UACGUAGGGGCAAGCGUUGUCCGGAAUCAUUGGGCGUAAAGAGCGUGUAGGCGGCUUCGUCAGUCCGUUGUGAAAGUCCAGGGCUCAACCCUGGAAUGCCGAUGGAUACUGCGGAGCUAGAGUCCGGAAGAGGCGAGUGGAAUUCCUGGUGUAGCGGUGAAAUGCGCAGACAUCAGGAGGAACACCUAUGGCGAAGGCAGCUCGCUGGGACGGCACUGACGCUGAGGCGCGAAAGCGUGGGGAGCAAACAGG
rnacentral:rRNA from 1 species